rnacentral:rRNA from 1 species
UACGUAGGGGGCGAGCGUUGUCCGGAUUUAUUGGGCGUAAAGAGCUCGUAGGCGGCUUAGCAAGUCGGGUGUGAAAACUCCAGGCUCAACCUGGAGACGCCACUCGAGACGUGCUAUGGCUAGAGUCCGGUAGGGGACCACGGAAUUCCUGGUGUAGCGGUGAAAUGCGCAGAUAUCAGGAAGAACACCCGUGGCGAAGGCGGUUCUCUGGGACGGUACUGACGCCUGAGACGCGGAAGCGUGGGAGCGAACAGG